rnacentral:rRNA from 1 species
AUUGAACGCUGGCGGAAUGCUUUACACAUGCAAGUCGAACGAUGAACCUUAGCUUGCUACUUUACCUAGCGGCGGACGGGUGAGUAACGCUUAGGAAUCUGCCUAUUAGUGGGGGACAACAUCUCGAAAGGGAUGCUAAUACCGCAUACGUCCUACGGGAGAAAGCAGGGGACCUUCGGGCCUUGCGCUAAUAGAUGAGCCUAAGUCGGAUUAGCUAGUUGGUGGGGUAAAGGCCUACCAAGGCGACGAUCUGUAGCGGGUCUGAGAGGAUGAUCCGCCACACUGGGACUGAGACACGGCCCAGACUCCUACGGGAGGCAGCAGUGGGGAAUAUUGGACAAUGGGGGGAACCCUGAUCCAGCCAUGCCGCGUGUGUGAAGAAGGCCUUUUGGUUGUAAAGCACUUUAAGCGAGGAGGAGGCUACCGAGAUUAAUACUCUUGGAUAGUGGACGUUACUCGCAGAAUAAGCACCGGCUAACUCUGUGCCAGCAGCCGCCGUAA